AAUGGUCAAGUGAUGAAUAUUAAUUGCAUAGUUCAGAUGAUAAUAAUCUCCAUGAUUACAGAUGUGUAGCAUAGUCUUUCGCUCCUAUCUGAUGACCCAU
rfam:Arabis alpina cultivar Pajares Aa.chr3_contig_3131, whole genome shotgun sequence.